UCCGGUCAUAUCACUUUCAAACACUGGUUCUCGUACGAUCAUCAAAGUUAAGCAUCGUCGAGCCUGUUCAGUAACUAGAUGGGUGACCGCUAGGGAAUACCAGGUGCUGUAA